ACCGAGUUUUCAACUCCCAAACCCCUGUGAACAUACCUGAACGUUGCUUCGGCGGGACCGCCCCGGCGCCCUCAGCGGCCCGGAACCAGGCGCCCGCCGGAGGACCCAAACUCUUGCUUUAAACAGUGGCAUUCUCUGAGUCUCACAAACAAAAUAAAUCAAAACUUUCAACAACGGAUCUCUUGGCUCUGGCAUCGAUGAAGAACGCAGCGAAAUGCGAUAAGUAAUGUGAAUUGCAGAAUUCAGUGAAUCAUCGAAUCUUUGAACGCACAUUGCGCCCGCCAGUAUUCUGGCGGGCAUGCCUGUUCGAGCGUCAUUUCAACCCUCAAGCCCCCAGGGGCUUGGUGUUGGGGACCGGCCCGCCCUUCUGCGGCGGCCGCCGCCCCCGAAAUGCAGUGGCGACCUCGCCGCAGCCUCCCCUGCGUAGUAGCACAACCUCGCACCGGAGCGCGGAGACGGUCACGCCGUAAAACGCCCAACUUUCUUUAGAGUUGACCUCGGAUCAGGUAGGAAUACCCGC
rnacentral:rRNA from 1 species